CAAGUUUGUCAUGAUGUUAUAACAAUCCAUCGACAAAACACAUACGCAAAGCUCACAUUAAUGCCACAAUGGAAGUUGAUUUGGCCUUGUUGAAGUCCUCAAAAGGUUUACUGAAAAUAGCAGAGAUGGUGUGUGUUUUUGUGGCUUUUGUGUCGUAUGCAGUGGCAUCUCGGCCGCCCUACAUUGCAGCGACCUGCAUAGAGUUUUUCAUCACGCUUGGUUUUUUUCUGCUCUACCUUCUGAAACUCAACAAAGUGUUCACUUUCUUCUUCUGGCCUCUUAUUGAUGUGUUCAACUCACUCUUUGCAGCUGCAUUCAUGUUUAUUCUUAGCAUGGUUGCAGUUUCAACAUUCACAGUGAAGGGCACUUUGAGCGGAGGGAUCGUGGGCUUUGUGGCUGCAGCCUUGUGGUCAUUGGAUGGCUAUAUUCUUUUAAAAAAAAUCACAUUCAACAAGCCAAGAACCACCACAAGAGCCCAAACAGGGGAAGAGUAAUGCCUCAUAACUGUGUUGACUCAUUUAGUGAGUGAGUGGGCCAUUUUUACAGCCAAAAUGAGAGUGUCAAGUAUAUUAUACUGUUGUAUGAUGUAUACUUUUGUUCAUAAAUAAUGU
rnacentral:lncRNA from 1 species